CUCAGUAAUCACCAGCUUUUGACCUUACCUCUUUUCACCUUACCUCUUUCACAUCACCCAAGAUAGACCCCAGCAAUCACCAGCUUUUGACCUUACCUCUUUCCACCUUACCUCUUUCACACAACCGGUCCUAUUUGUUUCUUUCUUUGUCCUUUCAGAACCUCAAAAUUGAUUCUUUCCAAAAAAAAAACCUCAAAAUUGGUUCUUUUAGUCUCUCUCUCUCUUCUCUCAUAUUCUUCUUCACCCUUUUAGAACCUCAAAAUUGGAUCUCAAAUCCAACUUGCUCCACCACAGAUUGAAAUGUUUAAUACUCUCUAUCUGAAAUGUUUAAUACUCUCUCUCUCUUUCUCUUCACACUCUCUCUUCCCUCAACUUCACUGAGGCGAGCUACAGAAAUUCGUCGAGGCUCUGCUGCAAUGUACGAGAUCGAAAGUUGUAGAUCCGUUGCAAAAAUUACAGCGAGUUUGGGAUUUGCAACGAGAUUCAAACCGCCUAAGGAGCCUAGCGAGCGCCUGGGUGGCCGCCUAAGUCCUCCCCGCCUAACUAAACAUUUUGGUCUAAAUCAGGUAGAAGUUCCGCCACACAGAACCUAGGUCGAUUUUUAGAACACUGCAUAAAAUUAGUCCAAAAUCUUUGAUAAUAAGCAUUAUUUUAAAUUAUACUAGCAUAUGCCUAUACACAUUGUGUGUGUGUGAGUAUUUUUUAUUUUUGUUUCUAAAAUGAGGAGAAAAGGAGAGAGAACGUAGAAGAGAGGUUUGUGUUUCUAUUUUUUAUUUUUUGUAAAUAUUAAAUAUAUGCUAAAAUCACCCAUAGAUGAAGAUUCAAUUAAAAACAGAAAAAUUUAAUUUUGUAAAAUUACAUUAUUGACCGUCAUUUUUUUUGUGAUAGAAGAUAAGAAAAAAAAAAUCAUCAUCUUUUAGUUGAUAAAGAAGAUUUUAUUAAUCGGUAAUUUAGAUAAUAUAAAUACACUUGAGUAUUGCGGUUUGUACUAAUUAUAAUUAUUUUAUAAUUAUACCAACAACUUCAUCAUAUCCUCCUCGAAGUCUAGCUCCUCCGCCACUUCCAUGUCCACCGCUGGUGGGAUUGAAUCGCUUGGGGUUUAAGUGAGCAAACAGAGACGGGACAGGAUGAAACAGGACGGGACGGAAUGGAGAGGAAACAAAAAUGCCCUCGGAUGGAAACAAGGAGGAAGAAGAAGGAGAUGGAGAGGUUAUAAUUUUGUGUUACACGAAUGUGGAACGAGUCAUUUCAAAGGAUGAGGCAGAACGAAAAUUCAUCCAAAAUUCGUCCCGUGGAACAGUGUGUUCCACCCGUUUUAGGCGCACCAAACUUGCGACGGAACGUCUCGUCUCGCUCCAUUCUGUCCUGUACCACGUAUCAAACAGUAUCUAAGUAAAAGAUAAGAAGAGUGUAGUACCGCUCGUCAUGUAGAAUAAACUACCCCAUGUUCUUUAGUGGGCGAAAUUUCUAAGUGUGUAUGGAAUACGAAGUGAUACAUCAUAUGUUAUUAUAUAAGUGGAGGGAAAUUUUAUUUUUCAAGUGUCCCACAACUUGUAUAAUAACAUGUGAUGUACCAUCCCGUAUUUUAGGUACAUUAAAAAAUCUCUCCUUGAGUGGGAGCAGGAUCCAAUGUACUAAUCUGAAAUAUUAACAAGGUGACUUUGUUGUA